UAGAUACUCCCUCCGUCCGAAAAUACUUGUCAUCAAAAUGAACAAAAAAAUGAUGUAUCUAAAACUAAAAUACAUCUAGAUACAUCCCCUUUUAUUCAUUUUGAUACAAGUAUUUCCGGACGGAGGGAGUACAUU
rfam:Triticum aestivum genome assembly, contig: Triticum_aestivum_CS42_TGACv1_scaffold_591921_7BS